UACGUAGGCAGCGAGCGUUGUUCGGAGUUACUGGGCGUAAAGGGUGUGUAGGCGGUGCUCUAAGUUCGGUGUGAAAUCUCCCGGCUUAACUGGGAGGGUGCGCCGGAAACUGGAGUGCUCGAGCGUGGGAGAGGAAAGCGGAAUUCCUGGUGUAGCGGUGAAAUGCGUAGAUAUCAGGAGGAACACCUGCGGUGUAGACGGCUUUCUGGACCAUUGCUGACGCUGAGACACGAAAGCGUGGGUAGCAAACAGG
rnacentral:rRNA from 1 species